CACCCUCUUUGAUUCUCUACACCUCGGAUUCCUCCUGGAGGGGGAAAGAAAGCAAUCAGCUUCACAAAACCCAAACUCCUGUCGAUCUCAGCUCACUGGAAUGAUCUGCCUUUCUCUGGAUUAUCCUACACUUCUUGAACAUGGUCACCUGGAAACCAGUAUUGAGUCCAGCCAACUAUCUCUUCUCAUUCUUGUUUAGCAAAAAAAAACUUUUGAACCCACCUUGCUUAGUCGUAAUUGCUACCAAAAGAGUCGAUCAAAAAGAAUUAUGACAGGCUGCUUUUCGGAUUAAUGCUUGCCGACCAUGUCUCUGUACAAUUUAGUCCAAAAUUAUUCAUACCGUCUUUUUAACUUUAUCAACAUGUUUCUUCGGACUUUAUUUUGGAGUUGCCCAGCAAGAUUCCCCGGCUUGAAUCUCAGAGAGACUUUAUUCAGAGGUAUCAGAGUAAAAGGCAAUGCAUGCAAAGCAUUUCACGUUUAUAUUGAUUGAAAUUUUUUGAAAACCCUGUAUCAAUUUUCUCCCAGUUCACAAAUGUUAUGUUUCUGUUGGUGUAUCCGCAGCUCUCAUUAUUGUAUUAGCUCUCUUUAUUAUAGGUCUUUUUGAGUGAGUACGCACAUUAAUAGACAAUAAAACAUUAAAUUAAAAAAACUGUUGAAGAAAAUGCAGCAAAUGAAUAAUUGCAAACAUGAAAACUAUAAUGUAGUUCUAUGUAAUCUGCAACAGACUGAAGAUUAUAUUUCAGCAUACUGUGUAAUAACAAAGCAAACAACGUGUUUAACAUGUAAAGCUGGUAAACCUCUAACACUUUACCGUGAUUUUUACGAUGAAGCCGUGGGAAAGGUAGCGGCAUGUCAGGGCAGCAUAUUGCCGUGAAUUGAACUAAUUGAAGAUUAUAGAGGGGAGUAUGCCAUGCCACAGCCAGCAGAUAAUCCCUCAUCAACUGCUGCCUGGACUCAGAAUGAGGAGUGCAUUUCAAGAAGAGGCUCCCCCUGCGGAGAUGCAGAAACUGAGAGGGAGCUUUCCUAAUUACUUACGCCACUAGCAACCCUUGGAGACUGGGGCUGUGCAACCGACUAAGGUUGUGGGAGCCUCAUUGGGUGGGGAGCCGAGAGAGGAGAUGCUUAGCACCCAGCCCCCCCUGUCUAAAUGUGAAAAAACACGAACAAUGGCAUUUUGUUUAGGCUGAGGGCUCUGUAGCUUUGCCUCAGUUGCCAUUGUCUGUCGGACUUUUUCUAAGGCCCUCAUAGGUUACAAAUCCAGACACAUUGAGUCAUUCAUGAGUCUGUCAUUGACGGGGCGAACCCCAAGGAAUCCUGCUGGGAUCUUAAUGAACGUGUUUUCCUAAGGAGCUACAAAAGUUAACAGACCAGCGCAGGCGAGAAUAGGAGCAAGCUAGUCACAGCAAAAAGUGUGAGAUCUAAUGCCAGCUUUUUUGCCUGUUUUUGUUCUGUUUUUGGUGUACAAUCUUGUUGGAUUUCAUGGAGCAUUUAGCCCACAUUGAUUUGUUUGCGACGAGACUGGUGGUCUAGGCGCUGCAAAGAAUUUAAGCACUACCUUCAGGUCAUUCAUCUGCAUUGCUUAUUUUAGUUAUUAUUGUAUGCCUUCUGUAAAGCUAAAUGUUGUUUUCUGAUCCCAAUUGAUACGAAGAUCUUUGCUAGAAAGAAAUGGCAAAAUAAUGUGUAUGUGUGUCUGUUGGGAGAGGGGUAGUUUGCAGAGAAUGGUCUCUUUGUGCAAAUCAGGCUGACUUACAGACAGGGAGCGGGUGCAGGAGACCUUCAGAAAACAUGUUGUUUACAAAUAAGGCUUAGAGUGCAAAGAGCCUCGAGACAGUCAGAGGUCAAGGAGCAUUCUAGCAAAAUAUCUAAGCAGAAUCCUAAGCAGCCUCCAUGCUUUUAGGUUUUUUAGGAAAACUGGAUUGAUUUCAGGGACUAGCUACAAGACAAGAAAGCCAUAAUCCUUCACCUAUAUUAAAAUUAUUCCCAACCCGAUAAGCCUGAAUCCUGAUAAAGCAGCAGAUUCACACCAAUAUAAAAACAGAUAAAAAUAUGUUUGGGGCUUUACAAAGAAUUCUAAAGCAGUUUUUAAUAGAAAAUAUUUCAAAAAUACUUUUAAAUUCAAAUUUUCUGGAAUGGUUAAACAAAAAGGAAGACACUAUUGCAGAGAGGAAAAAACUAAGUUAUGAUUUUUGAAUGCAACAUAUAUUUUUUUAUAUUGUAACUAUGAUAGACAUCAUUAAAUGGGUUGUGAAUUGGUGCUAUAUAAAUAAACUGAACUGAAUUGAAUUUAUAAGUUUAUAAAAGCGAUUUCAUAAAGAUAUAGAAUACUGGAUUCAGGAUUCAGCAAACAGUCAUGUAGCAUGUCAGUGAUGUAAAUUUGCAAGAGUUUGUAAAGCAUUAAAAAGUUUGAAAAACAGACAUUUAAAUGGUUCAGAAUAUGGUCAUGAGGUAAAAAGGAGGUCUGAAAACAUUCAAUGUUUUCUUAUGAUGCAGGAUAAAAUGAUGUGCCUGAUGUACAAACAGGGUUCCUUAACAUUUUAUAAGAAGGGAAAGAAAAAGGACAAAAGGAUGGGCAUAAGAUAGAAAGCAAAUGAAGGGUAUAAGAUAGGAAACAAUUAAAGGACAUGUGGAAGAAAGAAAGAAAGAAAGAAAUAAAGAAAGAAAGAAGGAAAGAAAGAAAUAAAGAAAGAAAGAAGGAAAGAAAGAAAGAAAGAAAGAAAGAAAAAAAAAGAAGGCUAGGCACAAGAAGGAAAUAAGGACGGUAACAGGUAAGGAGCAAGGAAAGACAUAAGCAUAUAGGGGAAGGACGGAAGGAAGGAAGGAAGAAAGGAAGGAAGGAAGGAAGUACGGACGGCUGGGCACAAGACGGAAAUAAGGAAGGUAACAAGUAAGGAAUGGAUGUGGAACGCAAUAAAGCAACAAGAAAUAAGGUAAGUAUGGAGGUAGGAAUAAAGCAAGGAAAGAUGUGAGCAUAUAGGGGAAGGAAGGAAGGAACACAACAUUUAAACAAUGGAAUAUGGAAAAUACGAAUAUCUGAUUAUUCCAUGCUCAUGUUCGUUUUAUCCAAACGUAGAAGCCCUUAAAAUGUCAUACUUUUCCGUAUGUUUCCAGACUGUGUAUCUGGUAGGAACCCUGAUUGUACAGGUAGGAACCUUGUACAAAACAUAGGAAAUAAGAAGGGCACAAAAUGUGACAGGACUGGUCUGAUGAUUCAUCAGUACUCUAAAAGCGAGCAGAAGUCUCAAUAGUUUCAUAUAAGAUUGACAGCAGUCCUUUGAUUUGGCAAGCAGAACAAUAGCUGUGUCUUUGUCUUCGUCCUCUUGUGAUGUGUGGAGCAGCCAGAUGAAUGAGUGUUGAAGAGAAAACUUUCAUUUUUCAAUCUUUUGAUCUUCUAUUGUAUGAAGCCCUUCCCCCACCUGUUGCUUUACCCUUCUGGUCAGCUAGCUGAAAGAUGGCUACUAUACUGCUUACUAGCAAAUGCUGUUUUAAAAUUAGACUUGGCAAUUUAUGAAACAACUCCCAGAGCAGACAGCCUGACUAGUUAACCAGCGUUACUAAGAUGGUUAACUAAGGUGGUGUUAAUAUAUAAAGAGCAGAAAAAGAAAACUAUUAAUUUAUCAGGUGUAACAAUAAAUGUUAUAUUAAUAGCAUUAUUAAUAUUGUAAUAAACAAUAUCUUAUUUCAGCAGCACUAGGAACAUUUGUUGCCUUCUGACUGAAAUAAAAGUGAUAUUAUGUGCAGCUUAAUUUCAAAUCUGUAGUAAGAUCUGAGAAUCUAAUGUCGAGGUUUAUUUACAAAAAGCUUUAUUAUUAACAAAUUUAUGUUAUAGAUAGCAAUAUUAUAAAUGUAAUAACCGGUAUAUUUCUAAGGCGGUGUGGAAAAUUGUUGCUUUUCCUUUUUCAAUAAAAUCUAUUUUCUUGUCAUGAA